UCCUCUUGUGCCUACUGAACUGAUAUCAGUUCUAUUUCAUACACUGGCUCAGUUCAGCAGGAACAGGAGU
rnacentral:pre_miRNA from 1 species